rnacentral:rRNA from 1 species
AGUGAACGCUGGCGGCAGGCCUAACACAUGCAAGUCGAGCGGCAGCGGGUCCUUCGGGAUGCCGGCGAGCGGCGGACGGGUGAGGAAUACAUCGGAAUCUGCCCUGUCGUGGGGGAUAACCUAGGGAAACUUAGGCUAAUACCGCAUACGACCUACGGGUGAAAGCGGGGGAUCGCAAGACCUCGCGCGACAGGAUGAGCCGAUGUCCGAUUAGCUAGUUGGCGGGGUAAAGGCCCACCAAGGCGACGAUCGGUAGCUGGUCUGAGAGGAUGAUCAGCCACCCUGGAACUGAGACACGGCCCAGACUCCUACGGGAGGCAGCAGUGGGGAAUAUUGGACAAUGGGCGCAAGCCUGAUCCAGCCAUGCCGCGUGGGUGAAGAAGGCCUUCGGGUUGUAAAGCCCUUUUGUCCGGGAAGAAAUCGUCUGGGCUAAUACCCCGGGCGGAUGACGGUACCGGAAGAAUAAGCACCGGCUAACUUCGUG